rnacentral:tRNA from 1 species
AAGGUUUUAAGUUAUACAAACUACUAGCCUUCAAAGCUAAAAUAAAAUUUAAUAAAAUUUAAACCUUA